UACGGAGGGGGGCUAGCGUUGUUCGGAAUUACUGGGCGUAAAGCGCACGUAGGCGGCUUUGUAAGUUAGAGGUGAAAGCCCGGGGCUCAACUCCGGAAUUGCCUUUAAGACUGCAUCGCUAGAAUUGUGGAGAGGUAAGUGGAAUUCCGAGUGUAGAGGUGAAAUUCGUAGAUAUUCGGAAGAACACCAGUGGCGAAGGCGACUUACUGGACACAUAUUGACGCUGAGGUGCGAAAGCGUGGGGAGCAAACAGGG
rnacentral:rRNA from 1 species